rnacentral:rRNA from 1 species
CCUACGGGUGGCAGCAGUAGGGAAUCUUCCACAAUGGGCGAAAGCCUGAUGGAGCAACGCCGCGUGGGUGAAGAAGGUCUUCGGAUCGUAAAACCCUGUUGUUAGAGAAGAAAGUGCGUGAGAGUAACUGUUCACGUUUCGACGGUAUCUAACCAGAAAGCCACGGCUAACUACGUGCCAGCAGCCGCGGUAAUACGUAGGUGGCAAGCGUUAUCCGGAUUUAUUGGGCGUAAAGGGAACGCAGGCGGUCUGUUAAGUCUGAUGUAAAAGCCUUCGGCUUAACCGGAGUAGUGCAUUGGAAACUGGGAGACGUGAGUGCAGAAGAGGAGAGUGGAACUCCAGGUGUAGCGGUGAAAUGCGUAGAUAUAUGGAAGAACACCAGUGGCGAAAGCGGCUCUCUGGUCUGUAACUGACGCUGAGGUUCGAAAGCGUGGGUAGCAAACAGGAUUAGAUACCCCGGUAGUC